rnacentral:rRNA from 1 species
UCAAGAAACUUCCACAAUGGGCGCAAGCCUGAUCCAGCCAUGCCGCGUGCGGGAAGAAGGCCUUCGGGUUGUAAACCGCUUUUGUCAGGGAAGAAACGCUCUGGGCUAAUACCCUGGGGUAAUGACGGUACCUGAAGAAUAAGCACCGGCUAACUACGUGCCAGCAGCCGCGGUAAUACGUAGGGUGCAAGCGUUAAUCGGAAUUACUGGGCGUAAAGCGUGCGCAGGCGGUUAUGCAAGACAGAUGUGAAAUCCCCGGGCUCAACCUGGGAACUGCAUUUGUGACUGCAAGGCUAGAGUACGGUAGAGGGGGAUGGAAUUCCGCAUGUAGCAGUGAAAUGCGUAGAUAUGCGGAGGAACACCGAUGGCGAAGGCAAUCCCCUGGACCUGUACUGACGCUCAUGCACGAAAGCGUGGGGAGCAAACGGGAUUAGAUACCCCCGUAGUCCCUGAGCGGGCUGGCAAGGCGCAU